rnacentral:rRNA from 1 species
CGUACCUUUUGUAUAAUGGGUCAGCGACUUAUAUUCUGUAGCAAGGUUAACCGAAUAGGGGAGCCGGAGGGAAACCGAGUCUUAACCGGGCGUUAAGUUGCAGGGUAUAGACCCGAAACCCGGUGAUCUAGCCAUGGGCAGGUUGAAGGUUGGGUAACACUAACUGGAGGACCGAACCGACUAAUGUUGAAAAAUUAGCGGAUGACCUGUGGCUGGGGGUGAAAGGCCAAUCAAACCGGGAGAUAGCUGGUUCUCCCCGAAAGCUAUUUAGGUAGCGCCUCGUGAAUUCAUCUCCGGGGGUAGAGCACUGUUUCGGCUAGGGGGCCAUCCCGGCUUACCAACCCGAUGCAAACUGCGAAUACCGGAGAAUGUUAUCACGGGAGACACACGGCGGGUGCUAACGUCCGUCGUGAAGAGGGAAACAACCCAGACCGCCAGCUAAGGUCCCAAAGUCAUGGUUAAGUGGGAAACGAUGUGGGAAGGCCCAGACAGCCAGGAUGUUGGCUUAGAAGCAGCCAUCAUUUAAAGAAAGCGUAAUAGCUCACUGGUCGAGUCGGCCUGCGCGGAAGAUGUAACGGGGCUAAACCAUGCACCGAAGCUGCGGCAGCGACGCUGAUGCGUUGUUGGGUAGGGGAGCGUUCUGUAAGCCUGCGAAGGUGUGUCGUGAGGCAUGCUGGAGGUAUCAGAAGUGCGAAUGCUGACAUAAGUAACGAUAAAGCGGGUGAAAAGCCCGCUCGCCGGAAGACCAAGGGUUCCUGUCCAACGUUAAUCGGGGCAGGGUGAGUCGACCCCUAAGGCGAGGCCGAAAGGCGUAGUCGAUGGGAAACGGGUUAAUAUUCCCGUACUUGGUGUUACUGCGAAGGGGGGACGGAGAAGGCUAUGUUGGCCGGGCGACGGUUGUCCCGGUUUAAGCGUGUAGGUGUGUGUUCCAGGUAAAUCCGGUUCACUUUAACACUGAGGCGUGAUGACGAGGCACUACGGUGCUGAAGCAACAAAUGCCCUGCUUCCAGGAAAAGCCUCUAAGCAUCAGGUAACAUCAAAUCGUACCCCAAACCGACACAGGUGGUCAGGUAGAGAAUACCAAGGCGCUUGAGAGAACUCGGGUGAAGGAACUAGGCAAAAUGGUGCCGUAACUUCGGGAGAAGGCACGCUGACACGUAGGUGAAGUGAUUUACUCAUGGAGCUGAAGUCAGUCGAAGAUACCAGCUGGCUGCAACUGUUUAUUAAAAACACAGCACUGUGCAAACACGAAAGUGGACGUAUACGGUGUGACGCCUGCCCGGUGCCGGAAGGUUAAUUGAUGGGGUCAGCGCAAGCGAAGCUCCUGAUCGAAGCCCCGGUAAACGGCGGCCGUAACUAUAACGGUCCUAAGGUAGCGAAAUUCCUUGUCGGGUAAGUUCCGACCUGCACGAAUGGCGUAAUGAUGGCCAGGCUGUCUCCACCCGAGACUCAGUGAAAUUGAACUCGCUGUGAAGAUGCAGUGUACCCGCGGCAAGACGGAAAGACCCCGUGAACCUUUACUAUAGCUUGACACUGAACAUUGAGCCUUGAUGUGUAGGAUAGGUGGGAGGCUUUGAAGUGUGGACGCCAGUCUGCAUGGAGCCGGCCUUGAAAUACCACCCUUUAAUGUUUGAUGUUCUAACGUGGACCCGUGAUCCGGGUUGCGGACAGUGUCUGGUGGGUAGUUUGACUGGGGCGGUCUCCUCCUAAAGAGUAACGGAGGAGCACGAAGGUUGGCUAAUCCUGGUCGGACAUCAGGAGGUUAGUGCAAUGGCAUAAGCCAGCUUGACUGCGAGCGUGACGGCGCGAGCAGGUGCGAAAGCAGGUCAUAGUGAUCCGGUGGUUCUGAAUGGAAGGGCCAUCGCUCAACGGAUAAAAGGUACUCCGGGGAUAACAGGCUGAUACCGCCCAAGAGUUCAUAUCGACGGCGGUGUUUGGCACCUCGAUGUCGGCUCAUCACAUCCUGGGGCUGAAGUAGGUCCCAAGGGUAUGGCUGUUCGCCAUUUAAAGUGGUACGCGAGCUGGGUUUAGAACGUCGUGAGACAGUUCGGUCCCUAUCUGCCGUGGGCGCUGGAGAACUGAGGGGGGCUGCUCCUAGUACGAGAGGACCGGAGUGGACGCAUCACUGGUGUUCGGGUUGUCAUGCCAAUGGCACUGCCCGGUAGCUAAAUGCGGAAGAGAUAAGUGCUGAAAGCAUCUAAGCACGAAACUUGCCCCGAGAUGAGUUCUCCCUGAGACUUAGAGUCUCCUGAAGGAACGUUGAAGACGACGACGUUGAUAGGCCGGGUGUGUAAGCGCAGCGAUGCGUUGAGCUAACCGGUACUAAUGAACCGUGAGGCUUAACCUUACAACGCCGAAG